GAUUGUAGUCCAUUAUCUAGAAACUUCUUGUAAUAUGUAGUAGUCAAAGUGUGUAAAAUAAUCUUGUAAAAUAUCUAAGUCUAGAAUUAUCAUGAGAAUACUUAGGAAUUAUCUAGAUACUAGUAGAUGAUAAAGUGUUCUAGACUAUUCCAUUGUGUAGUAUAAAUAAAGGUAUCACCCCUCAUUUGUAAUCAAGCAAUAAGCAAAGCAUUCAAGAUCAAUCAAGCUUCUAAAUCAUCAAUCCUCUCUUCAACAAAUAAUAUAUAUAUAUAUAUAUAUAUAUAUAUAUAUAUAUAUCCUCCUAUUUCCAACAAUCGCCUCCUCUUCUUCUUACGACUUAUGCGUUCUUUUCUUCCUCCAAUUCUUUUCCUCCUCUUUUUUUUUUUUUCUCAAAUACAUGAGACUUCUUUGUAAUUAUUAUUGAUCGAAUAUGAAAUAUCUAAUUUUGCGUUAAGUACGUUAUAUGAUGCCUAUGUCAUGAUCAAAGGCAAAAUUUUCCUCUCCGUAUUGAAGGAGGCACUGAAAUUCAGGAUAAGAUUAAGAAAGAAAUUGGUACAAUGUAUCAAGUUUGGUUCUAUCUCACUUGGGGUCAUUUUAUCUAUCUAUUCUUGAAGCAAGAAACUAAGACCAAUAGUUUUUGCUCGGAGCGAAAGAGAUAUGCUCUUAAAAAAGUGGUAGUGUUUGGAUGAAAUUUUUUACAAUUACUUAUGGAUUUAUAAAUAUUUUAUAAUUUACAACUAAUAGUAAAUUAACUUAUUCUACAAUAAAUGUAUAAAAAUAUACUCUACAAAUAUGCUAGAUUUCCUAAGCGGAAACAUAUCCCAUAAUCAGCUCC
rnacentral:lncRNA from 1 species